AGUCCUGUAGCUUAGUGGUUAGAGCACUUGCCUUACAAGCUAGCGGAUCUGGGUUUGAUUCCCAGUAGGGCGA